rnacentral:rRNA from 1 species
UAGGGAAUCUUCGGCAAUGGACGAAAGUCUGACCGAGCAACGCCGCGUGAGUGAAGAAGGUUUUCGGAUCGUAAAACUCUGUUGUUAGAGAAGAACAAGGACGUUAGUAACUGAACGUCCCCUGACGGUAUCUAACCAGAAAGCCACGGCUAACUACGUGCCAGCAGCCGCGGUAAUACGUAGGUGGCAAGCGUUGUCCGGAUUUAUUGGGCGUAAAGCGAGCGCAGGCGGUUUCUUUAGUCUGAUGUGAAAGCCCCCGGCUCAACCGGGGAGGGUCGUUGGAAACUGGGAGACUUGAGUGCAGAAGAGGAGAGUGGAAUUCCAUGUGUAGCGGUGAAAUGCGUAGAUAUAUGGAGGAACACCAGUGGCGAAGGCGGCUCUCUGGUCUGUAACUGACGCUGAGGCUCGAAAGCGUGGGGAGCAAACAGG